AGCAGGAGUCGGAAGUGGCCCAGGCGCAGGAGAGCGCGGAGAAGGGCUGGGCGGCGGCCCGGGAGCCGGACUCGGACCGCGAGGCCCAGAUCGCUGGGCGCUGGAGAACAGGACCCUCUUGGGAGAUGUGCAUAGGAUACGGUAUUCCUGAGCCUCUCAGUUUCUUCCGUUGUAAAAAUGAGACGCCAACCUCGUAGUGUGUUGAGAUGGUUAAAUGGGGCCAUACACAUUUGCACUGUGCCUUGCACUUAACAAGAACGCGUGAAUGUUAGUGUCUGCUGCCAUCAUUAUUGACUAUUAUGAUGAUGAUCCGUGAAAGCCCCUGAAUUCCGCCUGCUCUUUUGCUUUUAAUUUUCUGCGGGCCUUAAGUCUACCCUACGAUAGCUGACGCGCUCCCGAUUCCUGGUUUCCAUUUGCGGAGAAUGCAGGGCUUCCUCUUGGAGUUAAAGACUCAUUGGCUCCUGGAAAGCCCUCGCUCUCUGCCGCCCCCCGCGGACUUAGCUGUGACUGUCCUUGCCUGUGGAGCAGAAGGCUUGCCCUCCUCAGGGGCCACCCGAGACCGCCAGGAUGGAGUAGGAUCUGGACCUUCAGUCUGUUGAGGAGCCCUGGCCCGGGGUAGCCAUUUUCAAGGGCGAGGGACCUUGGUGGGAGUACGAUGAAUCCAUCCAUACAAUAAACAUCCAUUAAGCACCUAGUACAUGGCAGCGGGGGGCAGAGGGCUGGAAAUAUUAAUAAUACUAGUAAAACUUAAUAUGUGUAGGUCACCGUUCUACUCCUUACAACAAUCUAUGAUAUAGAUCCUGUCGCUAUCCCUGUUUUACAAAGGGAAAGGGAGACAUCGUGAAGUAAAUAGCCUUCCCAAAGAAAGUUACACGUUUGGGAAAUGGCUGAGUUUGGCUUGGAGAGAGGAAAGUAAACUCUUGAUAGGUGAAAUAGACAAAAUCACAACACAUUUGGGUUUAAUGCAAAAGAUAGAAACAUACACAAGGUACGGAGGUUUUUAAAAGAGGACCUUGUCCUGUGGUUAUAACUUUGGGGAAGGGCGUCAGGGAGAUCUUCCUGGUGUAGGUGAUGUCUGAGCUGGGUUUGGAAGAAGAAAUGGGAGCUUCAAAGGCAGCUUAUAAGUGAAGAAGAAUCACAGUAAACUUUUUCAAGCCUGAAUAAGGAUGGAGGAGAAGUGGAAUGGUGGCCGGAAUAAAGCUAAAACAGUAAAACAGGACCAAACUCAAGGGCUGUUUUCCUAUAGAAACUAAACAACAUUAAUUUGACCUUUGAUUGGUAGGAAGCCAGAAGGGUUUUAAGCACAGGAGAUAUGUCAGGUGUGGUUCUAGAAAGUUUAAUCUGGAAACAUAGAAGAUCCCAGAACCAAGAAACUUGCUUAGGAAAUAUUGAAAUAUGUCGGUGAGAUACUUCAGUAGGCAGAAUGAGUAGAGUUACAGAAAGAGGUCCACUUCUUAAUCCCUGGAACCUGUAAAUAUGUUAUCUUACAUGGCAAAAGAAUUUUUGCAGGUGUUACCUUCUCAUUCGGUCAUGGGAAAAAAAAGAAUAAAGAAAUUUUGCAGGUGUGAUUAAGAUUGAUGCCAUUGAGAUGGGGGAUUAUCCUGGAUUAUUUCAGUGAGCCCAAUCUAAUCACAUGAAUCCCCUAAAAUGGAAGAAGAGUGGGUCAAAGAGAUUCAAAGUGUGAGAGGGACUCAACCUGAACCACGAACCAAGGACUGUGGAUAACCUCCAGGAGCUGGGAAAGGACCUUAGCUGACAGCCAACAAAAAAUUCACUUUCUUUAUCUGGUCUAGACUUGUUUUUCUUCCACAGUCCUACAACAGCAGAAACUGAAUUCUGCCAAUAACCUAAAUGAGCAAGGAAAUGGAUCCUCCCUUAGAGUCUUCAGAAAGUGAUUGAGCUCUACUGACACCUUAAUUUUAUCCUGGUGAGACUAAUACUGAUUUAUGGCCUACAGAACUGUAAAGUAAUACAUUUGUGUUAUUUUAAACCCCUAAAUUUGUGAUCAUUUGCUAUGGCAAUAGUAGAAAACUAAUACAGAUGCUGAGGGCCUAAACUAUGUGGAUGGAAAGGAGAAUAUGCAUUCAAGACUUAUAAAAGCCUGGAGAUUGAGGGGAUGGAGGGAGUGAAGGAAGGUGAGUCAUGUAGGUAGAUUUAAAGGGUUUCAGGACUGGCAGGGUCAGUCGUUGGUGGUGUCAUUCAGUGGAAAGAAGGACAAAGAUAGGUACUUUCUAAAUACCUCUGGAUUCUGCAGUAAUGCAACUAAACUAGAAUUUAAAGGAUUAAAAGGGUUUGUAGACACCCAACCUCUCCCAUCCCCAAAUAAUCAGAAACUAUCUCUGAAUGCCCAUGGAUAGUGAUAUUUGUUACCACCAAUUGAGAAUUCUAAUACUGGAACUGCCUUGUGUAAGCUGGAUGACUCUGGGCAAAGCCCAAAACCUUAAUGAGACUUAGCUUCUACUGUGUGAGAUAGAAGGAGAAGCUCCAUCUGCAUGAUUGCUGUGAGAGUCACCCAGGAUGUCAUGGUGUUUGAAACCUCAACCCCAGUAACUUUCACCAUUGCUUGAUUUUAGUCUCCCUUGUCCCCGGCUGCACUCUGUAGCAGCACCCUCAGAGCCACCUCUACCUUUAUUAUCUGUAUCUCUGACAUUCUAUACCCCAACUACAACCUCCCACCCUUGAUCCCCACAAUCUUCUUUUAUCUGAUCUAGAUUUGCAUUUCUUCCACUCAGCCUCUUUUCCUAUCCAGCCUAACUCCGAGAGUCAACACAUCAGUCACUCCCUUGCUUUAUCCCAUUGUCCUUUCCCUGUACCCACCUGGCAAAUCUUUUUAGCCAUCCACAUUUUUUAUAUGGACUACUUAACAACCAAAAAGUGUGAAACUUGGUACCACUACAGAUUUAUGACCUCAAGUCUCCACUAAGCCAUCCUGCAGCCUGCAUAUCCUCCAGCAUCAUGGAUGGGAAGGAGAAGGGGUUUAAUCUUUUUACCAUGUCCUCAAGACAUUUUUCCCACUCUCUUGAUAUAUGAUUUCACUUCCUAGUUCAUAGGAAAUUUAGAGAUCAUCAAUAGAGAAGUUUCUUGACAUCAUGCCCCAGCCACCCAAAAUGCUCUCUGCAUCCACAUUCAUCUUGACUUCCUUUCUUCUUGUCUCAAUGGAUCAGAGCAAACUCAUUCAGCAGUUCUCUGGGUCCUCGAUGAUCACUUUCUUCUAUCUACAGAGGCCAUAUCCAUUAACUAUUCAUUCACUUUUAUCCUCAAUCUUUCAUUUCUGUACUUCCCCUGCAAAACAUAAAAAUGCUAAAAUUUAAAAAAUAAUACAAAAUUUAAAAUUCUACAUGGAGGUCCCACUCUCUCAGCAUGAUCCACUUUCUAGAACCAUCUAAACUUAAGAGACGAGAGACUCUAAUGGUAGAAACAAUGCAGAGUGACCACUGUCUCAGUGUUUACUUUUGGGGAGGAAUGGAGAGUGGGGCACCCCUGAAAUCUUAGGCAACUUGCAUCCUAUCAGUGAGCUCACCGCCCAAUGUGUUUAGAAAACAAUUCUAUGGCACUGGCUUUUGAAAAAUGAGAAAGCUUUAUUGCAAGUUGACUGGCAAGGUGAUAGGAUGCAAUGCUCAAAUCUGUCUCCCCAGGCUGGGGUCUGGAGGGAGGGUUUAUAGGCAGAGGAUAACUGUGAGAGAGACAGAACAAUGCAAGGAGGCAUGAUCUGAUUGGGUCAUGCAAAGAGGUGAUGCUGGGUCCUUGGCUCUUAAAUCCAUACUGCAGCAAAACACAGUACCCCUCACUUCUUAAUUCCAUUCCCAUUCUUCAAUCUGAGUACUUACAUUCUGCUGUGGUUGGCUCCGGGGUCAUGAAUUGGGAACACUUGGUUUAUGUGGGCAUGCUCAGGUUAUGUGACUUGCAACCCUGGGGUCCUUUGCAUUGAAAAUCAAUUCAUCAUUUUGUUACUAAUGAAAUUGAAUAGGGCUUUUUUUCCUCUCUGCCUUAUUUCAUAGUGUGAUGAUGUUUAGAAAUUAGCAAGAUAACUAACUUUGCUGUCUUAUUUGGGCCAAUAGAUAAUUGGGUCAUUUCCUUUUCAAGCUAUCUCUUGCAUGUUUCCAAUUUGGGGCCAAUAAAACACAUUGGAAUCUAGAAGCUCCUAAUAACUAGUCCAUUACUCAAUGGCUAAAUAUAUUCUAAAAUAAUUGUAGCUACAUCUAAAUUGAUGAAUCCUCCCGGACCCAAAAACCCCCAAACUCCAUAAAUCACAUGAAGUAGAGAUAGCUGUUACUGUAGCUGCAUGCCAAAAAUACCUCUGUGCAUGCCUUCUAUUUUUGUUUCUGCCCAGCUGAAGGUAAGGAAACUAACUCCAGAGAAAGUUGUGAAGUUUUAAAAAAUCUUCUAACCCAGUUUUCUUGUGUACUCUUCUCUUUUCCUCCAAGCCCCUACUCUGCUUACUCAGAAGAAAGCAUCUUCUUUUUGAGUGUAAGGAAAUAAUUGUGUGGCACUGUGAUACAUGCAAUAAAAAAUGUAUGCACAAAUAGUCUGGGAGGAGAGAAAAGAAGUAGCUCACAUUCCCUGGGAAAAUGGGGAAGAUUUCACAAAGGAGGUUCCAUCCAUUUGAGUUAAAAGGAUGAACUGGAGUUCGCCAAGCAGAGGAGGAUACUAUGGGCAAAAGUAAGAGAAAAGGGAAAGAUAGGUUUAACAUUUUCCAGCAAGCUGCAAAGUACUGAAGCAAAGAUGUGCAACUUAAAUGCAGCCCACAUAAAGGUUUAUGUAGCCUUUGUGCCUUAACCACAUCUUUGUGGGAAUGUGCCAGUGAACCCGCCUGAUUCAAAGCAUGGCUGUAAUUUCACCAUUCUUCCAAAUUACUCUUUAAUUGUCCACUGUUUCAACUCUAUCUUUCAAGUCCUAUUUAUUUUUGGAGGAUUAUCAUAAAAUCUUAUCUUGUCCUCAAAGUAACCAGAUGAGUGAGAUGAAGAGUAUAGUUUUUUUUUCUAUUAAAUAAUAGAAACUCUGGGAUAGAAUAAGAAUCAAGGUUUUAAGAUAGUGAUCUUUUCCCAUUGCUUUAAUAGACCUCAAUCGCCUCUCAUGGCUAUUACAUAUCACUAGUGACUGUACCUCCAUUUUAGAGUAUUUUUCACUCUUUAAGCAGAAUUAUUUACCUCCUAUGAUAACGUGGGCACAAAAACACAUCUCUUCCAAAGAAAGCUUGCUAGACUAUAGGCUGCUUCAAAAUGUGACUUUAUCUACAACUGUCCCCAAUUGGGUCAGCCACACUCCCCAUGAAACCAAGUUCUUUGUGUGUUUCUAAUUGGCCACCCCUUAAGACAUUCUUAGGAAUUAUAGUGUUGUCUCUAGCCGGAAUCCUUAUUUUUCUAUGAUUGCACCAUUAGUUUCUCUGCGUGGGUUCUUCCCCACCUGAACUAUUUUCUCCUUUUGGACCGUCUCAAAUCUCAUGUGAAUCUAUCCCAAAUACCACAAUGACCAGUUUUGUUUUGUCUUGUUCUUGAAGACACAAUUUUACUUUUUCAGCUCCUUUUAAGGCCUUUUAAAAUAAAUAAAUAUAGCUUAAAGUCCUGGCUCUAUUGACAGAGCUAUCUUGUAUACCUCUACUCACCAAAUGCUAGUCCACGUUGGGAAUGCUCUACUUGAUUUUAAACAAGACAAGUUCCCAUCUUAGUCCUGUAUUGCUUCAAGCACAGCACCCUUACCUAGUAGAUUUUGACUUCCAUGUUGUUCUCCUUCAAUAGCCUUACUUCUUUCAUUAUAAAUACCAAUCCUCAGGGUAAAGAGUUGGUAUACUGCUUACUAUCAUGUAUGAGUUCUCACUCUUCAUAGCAAUGGUCUCCUGGACUUAAAAAAUUUAUUCAACAUCGUUGUGGAUUAAAAAUUACCUCAGCCAGGCACGGUGGCUCACGCCUGUAAUCCCAGCACUUUGGGAGGCCGAGGCAGGCGGAUCCCAAGGUCAGGAGAUCGAGACCAUCCUGGCUAACACAGUGAAACCCCGUCUCUACUAAAAAUACAAAAAAUUAGCUGGGCAUGGUGGUGGGCGCCUGUAGUCCCAGCUACUCAGGAGGCUGAGAAGAAUGGCGUGAACCUGGGAGGCUGGAGCUUGCAGUCAGCCGAGAUCGCGCCCACUGCACUCCAGCCUGGGUGACAGAGCGAGACUCCGUCUCCACAAAAAAAAGAUCUCAAAGUAAAAAUAUAGCCGAGAUUUUAGUUGUUAUUCCCUUUGUUAAGAUCUCAGAAGGAUUUAAGGGUGUGCCAUGUAGACCUUUUCUGUGAGACACUAGGAUUUCUAAGAAUCUGAAGGUGGUACACCACAGCAAUCUCACAGGUGGCCCAAGGUAAAGAAUAGCCUGUCUCAGAAAAAAAAAAAUACUGGUGUGGCUUUUGUCAAGUGGAGUGGUUUAUAAUUCAGUAUAUAAGAAAUCCACAAAGUUUUAAAAAGAAUUUUACUAGAUUGAACUGUAAAACACAGGAACCACAUAAAAUUUAAAGAAGCCUUUCAACCUUCAAACUUCUAUGGCCAGAAAUCAAGCUGAGAAGACUAAUCAGUUGAAACCGUGGUCCACUUUUAUGGAAAAGGAAGAAUGACUGGGAGUGGGGAUAGGGUGGUGGGAAGCCCAGAGGGAGGAGCCAAGAUCUGUGGAGAGUAACUCCCAGGGAAAAGGGUUAUUUAAGGAACUGGCAACAAGUGCCUAUCUAAAUUUUAGAAUCUCUAUGGACCAGGGACUGCUAUGUAAUUCUAAUGUUUCCUUCUUUUUGAAUGGGAGAGAGCUCUUCUUUGUUUCAUCACUGUAUGCUUGGUGUGUAGGAGGCACACAAUUUGUCUCUUUAGUUCACCGGUCUUCAGAAUGAAAGGUAUCAUACUUUUAAAACCUCACUUAAGAAGCCUAGUAGAGGCCGGGCACAGUGGCUUAGGCCUGCAAUCCCAGCACUUUGGCAGGCCAAGGUGGGCGGAUUACUUGAGGUGAGGAGUUCGACACCAGUCUGGCCAACUUGGCGAAACCCCAUCUCUACGAAAAUACAAAAAUUAGCCAGGCGUGGUAGCGGGCACCUGUAAUUCCAGCUACUCAGGAGGCUGAGAUAGGAGAAUCGCUUGAACCCAGGAGGCAGAGGUUGCAGUGAGCCGAGAUCCCACCACUGCACUCCAGCUUGGGCGUUGAGACUGAGUCUCAAAAAAAAAAAAGCCUAAUAGAUACUUGGACCUGAUUUAAAUAAUGGGGAUCCUGAGGCUUGAGUCUGGUCCUAAUGUCCUGAUGAUGUAGUAGGAUGAAACUACUAGAGUUUUAUAAGGAGGGAGUUUAUUUUAUAUGUAAGAGAAACAUAAAUAAUUUAUGGACAGAGGAUGGACUGUGGUAGAUUUUAAGUGGACACAACUAGUUCUUUGACACUUUUACCCAUCAGAGAUGGAGGGUACGGCCUCCCCUCUUAAAGCUGGAUGGGCUCUGUGAAGUUUUGACCAAUAAAAUAUGAUAGAAAUGACAUUGUGCAAGUUUCUAGGUCCAACCUUAAGAGACUGUUAUCUUCAACUAUCUCUUGGGACAUUUAUUCUUGGAGCCCUAAGCCAUAAUGUAAGAUGUCUGGACCCUGUUGAAGAAACGGUAUGGAAAGGCCCUGAAACUACAUGUAGAGGGAGAGUUCCGCCUCAGCCCAUACUUCUGGUCAUGCCCUCCAAGGUGUGUUAGUAAACCUGUCUUUGGCACUCCAGACUAGCUAUGCUGCCUGCUGAAUAUUACUGGGCCACCCCACUUGAUGCCACAUGGAGCAGGAGAAUUACCCAGAUGAGUCCUCUGAAUUCCUGACUCACAAAGCCAUGGAACAUUACAUUAUCAAAUGGUUGCUAUUUUAAACCACUAAAUUAGGGAGUAGUUGGUUACACAGCAUACAAAGUUUAACAUUUAAUUAACAUUACAUUUGAUGAUCAAAUUAUUGUAAAUUUGACCAGUGGAAAUGCUUUUGGUUUGUUCUGGCACAACUAAAAAACUACAUGAUCACUACAACAGACCAGGUGGCUUAAACAACAGAAAUUUAUUUUCUCACAGUACUGAAGGCUGGAAGUCCAAGAUCGAGGUAAUACAUCUGGUUUCUCUACAGGCCUCUCUCCUUAGCUUGCAGAUGACCACUUUCUUGCUGUAUCCUCACAUGGUCUUUGGUUUGUGCAUGCACAUAUCAAAUGUCUCUCUCUCUCUUUAGUCUCUGUUCUUAUAGGGAAAUCAGUCAUAUUGAAUUAGGGCCCCACCUGUAGGAUCUCAUUUAACCUUAAUUACCUCUUUAAAGGCCUAUCUCCAAAUACAGUCACAGUGGGGCUUAGGGAUUCAAUAUAUGAAUUUUGUCAGGGACACAAUUCAAACCAUAACAAUCAUCUUCAUAAAGGAUAUUAAAAAUAACACCCUUUGUAUUAUGAUUGUCA
rnacentral:lncRNA from 10 species